rnacentral:rRNA from 1 species
UACAGAGGGUGCAAGCGUUGUCCGGAAUCACUGGGCGUAAAGGGCGCGUAGGCGGCCUGAUAAGUAGGGGGUGAAAUCCUGGGGCUUAACCUCAGGGCUGCCUUCUAGACUGUCCGGCUCGAGCACAGUAGAGGCAGGUGGAAUUCCCGGUGUAGCGGUGGAAUGCGUAGAGAUCGGGAAGAACAUCGGUGGCGAAGGCGGCCUGCUGGGCUGUUGCUGACGCUGAGGCGCGAAAGCUAGGGGAGCAAACGGG